rnacentral:rRNA from 1 species
CCUGAACGCUGGCGGCGUGGCUAAGACAUGCAAGUCGCACGGUGUAGCAAUACACAGUGGCGAACGGGUGAGUAAUGAAUCGCUAACGUACCCCGGACUCUGGGAUAGCUAACCGAAAGGUUAGGUAAUACCAGAUAAUAUAACCCUUCCGCAUGGUUGGGUUCGUCAAAGGUCCGCCGGUCUGGGAGCGGGCGAUUUCGUAUCAGCUAGUUGGCGGGGUAACGGCCCACCAAGGCGACGACGCGUAGCCGGACUGAGAGGUUGGCCGGCCACAUUGGGACUGAGACACUGCCCAGACUCCUACGGGGGCUGCAGUAACGAAUCUUCCGCAAUGCCCGCAAGGGU